AGGAGGAGAGGAAAGAGAGGGAGCUCAUGAAGAACCAGGAGGUCGACCUUGAGAGUAUUUCCAAUACCUUGUUGGAGUUCAUGAAAGAUCUUGAGAACCAGCUGAAUACCAUACGAGCAAUGUUUCAAAGGCUACCGGUGCCUUUCAAGGAGGUCCUUGAGAAAUCCCAGCAGAAGCUCACUUCAGGAGAUGACCAGACGAUCCAGAGAAGGGCAGAGAAAGAGGGAGAAGCUAGAGAUGAGGGAAAUGCCAAGAAAGCAGAAAAAGAGAUGCGGCUGAAGGAGAAGGAGGAGAAAAAGCUGUCUCAGUUCCUGGACAAAAGAAAACAAGAGCACGUGAAACGCCAGGGGAAGAUCAGGAAGGAUGAGCUCAAGAGGAUGAAGAGGACUCUUGAUGAGACACUCAAACAAGAAGAAGCUGAACUCAAGCAAAAAAUAAAGGAUGAGAAGAUGAAACUGGAGGCAAGGAACAAAUGGGAAAUAGCCCUGAUGAAGACGGCACACGAGCACCGCAAGUGGAGGGAAACACAGAAUAAAAUACAAGUUGAGGAACAGAGAAAGCAACUGAAGCAUUCCAUGAAAGACCAAGAAAUUGCGGAGAAGAAACAACAAAAGGAGCAGAAGAAACAAGAAAAGGAGCAGAAAGAGAGAGAGGAACGUGAACUAAAACUACAGAAGAAAGCUGCCACGCAAGAAAAAUGGAGAGUUGAACGGCAGAAAAAACAAGAACGAUUCGAACAGACUUACUACAGGCUCUUAGCAAAUCAGACUGCUCGAAAAGAAAUUAUGCUAGCCAAAGCAAAAGAAAGAGAGAAACUGAAAGAGCUGACUCAGAAACCAAAAAUGAGGAUAACUAUUGUAAAGAAGCCAUGCUUUAUAUGGAAUCUCUUUGGGGGGAGAAAUAAGAAAGAGGGAAAACAGGAGCAGGAGCAACUGAAGGAGGAGGCAGCAGAGUCUUAUAGGGCAGAAGAAGAGGUGGAUGAAACACUGGCUUCUGAGAGGGACGUAAGCAGAUGUGGAUAUGACAGCGUGGAUAUGACAAGAGGACAAUCACCAGUGUCCUUCACUGACACAGGAA
ensembl:lncRNA